rnacentral:rRNA from 1 species
GAUCCUGGCUCAGGAUGAACGCUAGCUACAGGCUUAACACAUGCAAGUCGAGGGGCAGCGGGAUUGAAGCUUGCUUCAAUUGCCGGCGACCGGCGCACGGGUGAGUAACGCGUAUCCAACCUUCCGCAUACUCGGGGAUAGCCUUCUGAAAAGGAGAUUAAUACCCGAUGGUAUCAAGAGAUUGCAUGAUAACUUGAUUAAAGAAUUUCGGUAUGCGAUGGGGAUGCAUU